CAGGUUGACUCUGGAGAGCGGUCGUCAGACCCACCGACGGGGCAGAGCCGAUUUCGGCUUUAAACUCUCAGGUUUUGGACAGAGGGGCGGCA
rnacentral:ncRNA from 2 species